ensembl:lncRNA
GCAUUGUAUCUAUAUGUUUAGCGGUUUGAGGAAUUGCCAAACUUUUCCAAAGUAUCUGCUGCUCCAUUUUACAUUCCCACUGGCAAUGUGUGAGGAUUCCAGUUUCUCCACAUCCUCUCUGACUUUUGUUGUUGUGUCUUCUUUAUUGUAGCCAUCUUACAUGUGAAGUAAUACCUCACUGUGAUUUUGAUUUACAUUUCCUUAAAAGGAUAUAACCCCAGUGAAACCAACAGUGCGUCUGGAGUGAAAUUCUUUCAUGAAGCUUGGAGAAGAGAACCAUCCAUUUUUAAAUGUUGAAUAUGUCUUUGCCACAGAGACAUGAGCCAGAACAUAUUGGACUUAAUUUGGGGGCUUUUUGAACCUGACAGUCCUCCACCCUCUUGCACCUGGUUUAGAAUCGCUGCCAGGUGAGUGGAUUACUGAUGGGAGUGUGUCAUACCUGCACUUGGGUGGGGCAGGAAACAAGACUUGGAACUACUGACCCAGACUGGAAGGUCUUAAACAUCUUCCAGACAGUCUUAUUUGUACCAUUCACUUUCUUUCUAAUGUGGUACAAAAGAAAACCUCAACUGGCU